rnacentral:rRNA from 1 species
AUUGAACGCUGGCGGCAUGCUUUACACAUGCAAGUCGAACGGUAACAGGUUAAGCUGACGAGUGGCGAACGGGUGAGUAAUGCAUCGGAACGUGCCCGGUCGUGGGGGAUAACGCAGCGAAAGCUGCGCUAAUACCGCAUACGAUCUGAGGAUGAAAGCGGGGGACCGUAAGGCCUCGCGCGAUAGGAGCGGCCGAUGUCAGAUUAGGUAGUUGGUGGGGUAAAGGCUCACCAAGCCAACGAUCGGUAGCUGGUCUGAGAGGACGACCAGCCACACUGGGACUGAGACACGGCCCAGACUCCUACGGGAGGCAGCAGUGGGGAAUUUUGGGCAAUGGGCGAAAGCCUGAUCCAGCAAUGCCGCGUGCAGGAAGAAGGCCUUCGGGUUGUAAACUGCUUUUGUACGGAGCGAAAAGGUCUCCUCUAAUACAGGGGGCUCAUGACGGUACCGUAAGAAUAAGCACCGGCUAACUACGUGCCAGCCGCCGCCGUAA